rnacentral:rRNA from 1 species
UGAGUGGCGGACGGGUGAGUAACGCGUGGGCAACCUGGCCUGUACAGGGGGAUAACACUUAGAAAUAGGUGCUAAUACCGCAUAACGGGAGAAGCCGCAUGGCUUUUUCCUGAAAACUCCGGUGGUACAGGAUGGGCCCGCGUCUGAUUAGCUGGUUGGCAGGGUAAAGGCCUACCAAGGCGACGAUCAGUAGCCGGCCUGAGAGGGUGAACGGCCACAUUGGGACUGAGACACGGCCCAGACUCCUACGGAAGGCAGCAG